GGGGAAGGGUAGCUUGCUACCUGACCUAGCGGCGGACGGGUGAGUAAUGCUUAGGAAUCUGCCUAUUAGUGGGGGACAACAUUCCGAAAGGAAUGCUAAUACCGCAUACGCCCUACGGGGGAAAGCAGGGGAUCUUCGGACCUUGCGCUAAUAGAUGAGCCUAAGUCAGAUUAGCUAGUUGGUGGGGUAAAGGCCUACCAAGGCGACGAUCUGUAGCGGGUCUGAGAGGAUGAUCCGCCACACUGGGACUGAGACACGGCCCAGACUCCUACGGGAGGCAGCAGUGGGGAAUAUUGGACAAUGGGCGAAAGCCUGAUCCAGCCAUGCCGCGUGUGUGAAGAAGGCCUUUUGGUUGUAAAGCACUUUAAGCGAGGAGGAGGCUACUGAGAUUAAUACUCUUGGAUAGUGGACGUUACUCGCAGAAUAAGCACCGGCUAACUCUGUGCCAGCAGCCGCGGUAAUACAGAGGGUGCGAGCGUUAAUCGGAUUUCUGGGCGUAA
rnacentral:rRNA from 1 species